CGGUAAAACCAGCACCUCAAGUGGUCAGGAGGAUUAUUGGGCCUAAAGCAUCCGUAGCCGGCUCUGUAAGUUUUCGGUUAAAUCCAUGUGCUCAACACAUGGGCUGCCGAAAAUACUGCAUAGCUAGGGAGUGGGAGAGGUAGACGGUACUCGGUAGGAAGGGGUAAAAUCCUUUGAUCUAUCGAUGACCACCUGUGGCGAAGGCGGUCUACCAGAACACGUUCGACGGUGAGGGAUGAAAGCUGGGGGAGCAAACCGGAUUAGAUACCCGGGUAGUCCCAGCUGUAAACGAUGCAGACUCGAUGAUGCAUUGGCAUAUAGCCAGUGCAGUGUCGCAGGGAAGCCGUUAAGUCUGCCGCCUGGGAAGUACGUACGCAAGUAUGAAACUUAAAGGAAUUGGCGGGGGAGCACCACAAGGGGUGAAGCCUGCGGUUCAAUUGGAGUCAACGCCAGAAAUCUUACCCGGAGAGACAGCAGAAUGAAGGUCAAGCUGAAGACUUUACCAGACAAGCUGAGAGGUGGUGCAUGGCCGUCGCCAGCUCGUGCCGUGAGAUGUCCUGUUAAGUCAGGUAACGAGCGAGAUCCUCGCCACUAGUUGCUAUCAUUAUUCUCAGGAAUAGUGGGGCGAAUUAGUGGGACUGCCGUUGUUAAAACGGAGGAAGGAGGGGGCUACGGCAGGUCAGUAUGCCCCGAAACUCUGGGGCCACACGCGGGCUGCAAUGGUAGCGACAAUGAGCUCCAAACUCGAAAGAGAGUGGCAAUCUCUAAACGCUACCACAGUUAUGACUGAGGGCUGUAACUCGCCCUCACGAAUAUGGAAUCCCUAGUAACCGCGUGUCAUUACCGCGCGGUGAAUACGUCCCUGCUCC
rnacentral:rRNA from 1 species